GAUUGUUGCAUUUUGGUUCGUUUGGAUAAACUUCAUUUAUUAGACGUCUGAUUGGACUGAACAUUUUGACAAGAAUUCAGUGACARAAGGGGCCCAUUCAUCUUUGAAGUCGUGGGCCGAAGAAGAGGAAUGCAAGUAACAUCAGUAAUGACCUCGUUUAACUUGUGACAGAGAAUAAGUGUGGAUACAUAAAACCCCAAACUCUUCAUGGUAUCUAAUGCCUUCAGCAUUUAAAAUGCCAAAGGAAAUACCAUGCUGAGAAAAUGGCUUUGGAAGAAGAUUAACAGGCAUCCACUGAGUAGUCUGUAGCAUGUGCRAACUGCACUAAUAGCUUAGUGU